UACAUGAGCAAAAUCUCAACUUUAUUAGAAGAGACGCAUUUAUUAGAUAAAAAGCCAAUGCAUGCUUUUACAGUAUGAAAAUUGGUGAUUUAUAAUAACUUAGCAAAUCGCAAAGUGAAAACAGGCGAUAAAUCAUUCAAGUUUCUGACCUAUCAGCUUUCGACGGUAUGGUAUUGGCUUACCGUGGCAGUGACGGUUAACGGGGGAUUAGGGUUCGAUUCCGGAGAGGGAGCCUGAGAAACGGCUACCACAUCUAAGGAAGGCAGCAGGCGCGCAAAUUACCCAAUUCUAACAGUUUGAGAGAGGUAGUAACAAGAAAUAACAAUACAAGGCAGUUAAAAUGCUUUGUAAUUGGAAUGAUAGAAAUUUAAACCCUUUUUAAAGUAUCAAUUGGAGGGCAAGUCUGGUGCCAGCAGCCGCGGUAAUUCCAGCUCCAAUAGCGUAUAUUAAAAUUGUUGCAGUUAAAAAGCUCGUAGUUGAAGUUCUGCUAAAAGUAACCGGUCUGCUUUUAAUAAAGGUGGUAUCUUGGUGUGUAUUUAGCAAUGAUGUCCUUUGAAGUGUUUUUUACUUUAUUGUAAUAAAGCAUAUUCAGGACUUUUACUUUGAGAAAAUUAGAGUGUUUCUAGCAGGCUAACGCUUUGAAUACUGCAGA
rnacentral:rRNA from 1 species